rnacentral:rRNA from 1 species
UACGGAGGGGGCUAGCGUUGUUCGGAAUUACUGGGCGUAAAGCGCACGUAGGCGGCUUUGCAAGUUAGAGGUGAAAGCCCAGGGCUUAACCCUGGAAUUGCCUUUAAAACUGCAUCGCUAGAAUUGUGGAGAGGUAAGUGGAAUUCCCGGUGUAGCGGUGAAAUGCGCAGAUAUCGGGAGGAACACCGGUGGCGAAGGCGGUUCUCUGGGCCUUACCUGACACUGAGGAGCGAAAGCGUGGGGAGCGAACAGG